rnacentral:rRNA from 1 species
AUGGGAGGUCUUGAGCAAGCACAACAACAAGGGCGACACCGACACCACCAUACCACCGUUGAAUCAUCCGGCCGCACCAUCGCCACCAACAUUCCGCAGCAAGCACCACCUACACAUCAACCAAGAGGACCCCAAGAUGAUGCCUUCGAGAAGGACCACGACACCAGUGCACCGCCAUCAUCCGCACCGGGAGUACCUGGGCUAGGGGUUUCCCUCGAGGUCUCAACUUCCAUCGUCAUCUGA